rnacentral:rRNA from 1 species
CCUACGGGAGGCAGCAGUAGGGAAUCUUUCACAAUGGGCGAAAGCCUGAUGGAGCAACGCCGCGUGCAGGAUGAAGGCCUUCGGGUUGUAAACUGCUUUUAUAAGCGAGAAAUAUGAUGGUAACUUAUGAAUAUGGAUCGGCUAACUACGUGCCAGCAGCCGCGGUCAUACGUAGGAUCCGAGCAUUAUCCGGAGUGACUGGGUGUAAAGAGUUGCGUAGGUGGCAUAAUAAGUAGCUAGUGAAAUCUGGUGGCUCAACCAUUCAGACUAUUAGCUAAACUGUUAAGCUCGAGACCGUUAGGGGUAACUGGAAUUUCUAGUGUAGGAGUGAAAUCCGUAGAUAGUAGAAGGAACACCAAUAGCGUAGGCAGGUUGCUGGGACGGUUCUGACACUAAGGCACGAAAGCGUAGGGAGCAAACGGGAUUAGAUACCCUAGUAGUC